CCAUAGCCCAUAUUAACUCCCCUCCCUCAACCCUAGUCUGUCAUUUCUUUAUAAUCCACGCCUCCAAAUCCAAUGAAUUUCGAUUCGCAAAUGUCACAAUAAUCAGGUGUCUUCCUCAUGCCUUUUGUGUCUUCUUCAUCAUUUUUGUAUCUAGGUUCUUUGGAUUUUCGAAGUAAUUUCUUAUCAAUUUUCCUUGGUUUUUAUUUUACAAUGAAUGAUUAAAUUCAUGAACAUAUAUGUUUGAACUUGUGAUUUGGGUUGAACUAAACAAAAUUCGUUCUUUCGUAUUGUUAGUAUGCAUACAAGUUAGUCGAUGAUAUGCCUAAAUGAGAAUAGCUUGAUUAUUUCAAUACGAACUUGUGAUUUAAGAGGACCAGUACUCAAUAUCUAUGAUAAAAUCUUGUUCCCGUUAUUUUUGAUGUUGAGAUUGAGUUGAACUUUAAGCCAUUGUUAUAUCGCUACUGAAUAUAAAUCACAUGUCAUGUGUUCUUAAGUUGAUCUACAAAAAUAAACUUUUUUGGUGUUUUUUUUUUUGAGUGCUCAACUUAUAUGAUAUGCAAAAAUCAAUUUUGGGUGAAAUUAAGUAUAGCCAGAAUUGAUUGAUGUGUCCUUGUUUAUCAGUAUUGCUAUUUGAUGAUCACAUAAAUGAACAUAUAGAAAAAUAUUACAGGUUGAUGUUAUUUAAGAGUGAAUACUCAUAUUUAAAAGAAUAUAUAUUUAUACUAAUGGCUUAAAAAUCCAAAAAGUAUAUUAACUUCUGAUUAGCAAAUGGUACCGGGUAUCGGUUUGGGACCGGUACGGUAUUUACUAAAUUUUACCUUUAAAAAAGUUCGGUACCGAACCAGUAUCGAACGUACCAUACCGACUGGUACACAUUUUUUGGAUAUUUCGGUAUCGAGCUCAUCCCUAAUUCAAAGUCUGAGUAUGAGUUUGAUUUUGUUUUGACUGGAGAUUUUUGGAACGAUGGAAUAAGAAAAGGGCUUUGUUGCAAAUCAAACGUUGGAAAGUGGCCAAUCAGUUAAGCAUUCCAAGCACUCUUCUGAAAUAUUCCACUUUUUAGUACAUCUUUUUUUCCAUUUCACGAUCAAGGAGGAUGUUUGUGUAUUGUUUGCAGAUAAAACAAUUAUUCUUCGCUUUGUAUUUUUGUGUUUCUCAAACUAGGAAGAAGUUCAUUUGCUGUGAUAUACAAGAGAUACAAUUACAGGAAACUUUAACCAAUUACAACAUAGCGGCGGAUAAUCAAGAACUUUGGAGCAUUAACGGAUGUCAACAAGCCCGUCUUCCUUUUCUUAAUAUAAGUAAUGUUUAUUUAUUUGUGUUAUUGAACCCACAAGUUGUACAUCUUUAUAUUUGUUGUAUUCGUUCACAUGUAUUACUCUAUCUAAGUGUAUUUCGUGUAGA